UACAGAGGGUGCGAGCGUUAAUCGGAAUUACUGGGCGUAAAGCGCGCGUAGGCGGCUUUGCAAGUCGGGUGUGAAAUCCCCAGGCUUAACCUGGGAACUGCAUUCGAGACUGCAUGGCUAGAGUAUGGGAGAGGGAAGUGGGAUUUCCGGUGUAGCGGUGAAAUGCGUAGAGAUGUGGAGGAACACCGAUGGCGAAGGCAGCCUCCUGGGCCAACACUGACGCUCAUGCACGAAAGCGUGGGGAGCAAACAGG
rnacentral:rRNA from 1 species